CUGAAUUUAUUUGUUGGACUAUUUGGUGAACAGAUCAAGGAUAAUAGGGAGAAGACAAUAGGACUGCAGGCUGAAUGGCAAGACCAAAACCAAGUCCCUCCUUCGAUAUCUUUCCUCUUUCCACAAGUAGUCCAUUCCUAAACAUCGGGUAAUAUUAUUAUAUAUGAUAUGUUAAAUAAAUGACUAAACAAAUUUGAUAAAUAUUUAGCUUGAGAUGCAUUUAAAUGGAGAAACACGAGGAGUCUUAAUUUAUAUAGACGGCCCUAACUUGUUUGAAAUGAAGGUGCUCAUAGACAUAGUAAUAGUUAGAUGUGUCACAUUUUUUAUUUGAGUGAAAUUUGAAUGGCAUAUUGACAUCCAAAGGGUGAGGCCAAUUAGUCGAUGAAAUUGAUAUGAGCAUGAGAGAUCCGGGUUAAAAUCCCAUAAGAAAUUAAACUAGAAACAUUAGGUGAUCAUGUACGUCUUUCCAUCUGUUUAAGACUUGUUGGAUAGAAUUACGACCUUCUUCUUCUUUUUACCCCCUUGUUUUGUGGAGGGUUGUGCAAACCAUCCGUAUUAAUUAAGUUUAUAGAUAUGGGCAGCAUGGUUUCAUCCAACGAACCUCGAUCAUUGUAUUAAUUUUGGAAUAGGGGGUGGUUUGAAACUUUGAAUAUGACAGAUGAUAGAAUUCUAAGGCUUGAUGAAUGACUAUUUUAGUAUUGGUACAAAAAGUAGUGUUUUUGAAUAGAGUUACUACUUACUUAUAUGCUUAGUGGUACACAAGCUAACCAAAACAUCACCGAGAAAUGUUUUCUUUUAUAAUGUUAGAUGAUUGCUCUUGGAUUUGUCAUAAUUAUUUAGACUAUAUUUACGGUGUGAUCAACCUAAUGCAACCCUCCUCUUUUAUCACAGUAAUUAAGUAAUAUCAAAACUUCAGAUUUGGAAGAUUUUAUUAAACCGUGGGUGCUAAUUCGAGUGCAGAGGUAAUUAUUACCAAGGUGGAGAAGUAGAGGCACGGAGGAGGAAUGAGCUGCUUGAUCUAAAUCUUGAUUCUUUGUAUCCUCCAACCCAUCUUCGAUGCUUUGCUUCAUAAGGAAAAAAAACUUGGUUAUUUUCCUAAUAACCCUUGUGCUUUAAUUCUACUACAUAUUCUAAGUCCAUGUGAAAAUGUGGAUUGGAUUGUGUGAAUAUCUCUUAUCAAUGUGUGAAGAGAGUUAGUAACUACCUUGCUAAGUGUAAAGGAAUUAUAACUCUGGCAGUAUUGACAUCUUCGAAUUUACGAAUUUACAUAUUGUGAUGAAUGCCUAACACUUUUUAUUCCUCUCCAAAAAGUUUUUGCCUAACAAAAUUGCUUUUAGACAAAGCUGAAAUUUAACCUGUGGCUUUACUAUUCAAACCUCAACCAAAUCCCCAGAUUAUAAAAUUGAUCUCCAUUGUCUAUCGAAAACAACAUCUCUAUCCCUGUAAAGGUAGAAGGUAGAGGACUAGAGAUAAGGCCUACGUACAUCAUAUCCACCUCAAACCCCACUUGUG
rnacentral:lncRNA from 1 species